UGGCUGCAGUCGAGAAUCUUCCGCAAUGGGCGAAAGCCUGACGGAGCGACGCCGCGUGAGGGAUGAAGGUCUUCGGAUUGUAAACCUCUGUCACGAGGGAAGAAUAAAUGACAGUACCUCGGGAGGAAGCCACGGCUAACUACGUGCCAGCAGCCGCGGUAAUACGUAGGUGGCAAGCGUUGUUCGGAUUCACUGGGCAUAAAGGGUCCGCAGGGGGUUUGUCGUGUCUGAUGUGAAAUCCCAAGGCUCAACCUUGGAACUGCAUUGGAAACUGGCGAACUAGAGUAUCGCAGAGGAAAGUGGAAUUCCCGGUGUAGCGGUGGAAUGCGUAGAUAUCGGGAGGAACACCUAAGGCGAAGGCAGCUUUCUGGGCGAUUACUGACCCUCAGGGACGAAGGUAUGGGGAGCAAACAGGAUUAGAUACCCUAGUAGUC
rnacentral:rRNA from 1 species